UCUCAUCUUAUUUGAUCAGCAAGAAUUGAAAAGAACGCUUUUUCUAAGGCAAGGACGGGAAGAAGGGCGAGAAGUUUUUUCUGAUGAUGAAAUACGGGCUUACGCUAAACAAUCAGACUACUAUUCUUCUACUACUGUACUGAUUGAUCUAAGGAGUAGUACUUACUGACCUUUAGGAGGUUUUUAGGUGAUCUCUUCGCCUCAUGUUGUUAGCCGAGGGUUGGUCACGUAUACCGCUUCUCCUUAGUAUAUUAUGCCGUUUCCGGUCCCUUGAGGUAAGCAGGUUAGCCUGAGAUGCGCGAUGCCGUCUGCAAUUGUGCAUCUUCCAAUAGUCCAUCGAACCAUUUCACAACACCUCAUCAUGCCAAUGCCAACAAAGCAGCAGGGCAGGGUGGCAUACCGUGUUCCUAGGCCCUACCGAAGAACCGAAAGGAAGGGGCUUGCCUUGCUGCCCUGAACCCAUAGCAGAAUAGGAAGUCGACUGCCGGCCCUCAACGGUGCACUCCCGGCUAAGAGUAAUGCCCUGCUUCCAGCUAAGUAUAAAGAGUUGGGCCUACCGUUCGCGAAUUCACUCUUGGUGGCGAACCGUUAGUUAAGACCCCCUACGAGUGAACUUGGGUAAGGGCUUUUAAAGCUGGAUAAGGCGCGCAAACCGACGUUCUUCCUGUCGGAAACCACACUCAUCAAGCUUGACCUCGACUAACCUACGAUGAUUCUGGCAGCCAUAAUCGCAGGAACACAUGAGUAGCGAAAGACUAAGCCGCUCAUGCUAUGCUGCACCAACCAAUUCACACCUAUUCGGGAGAGGGUUUUGCCUCGAAUAGAGCUCUCGUACGCUCUGCCGAACGAAGACACCGGUCAAGAAAAGAAGAGGCUCCCUUCGGUGGGGACAAGGUAAAGAACUCCGCAGCUAGCGAGCCAAAGGGGAUGGAUCGUGGCGGGAAUUUCAGGCGCAGACAUCUGAGCCUGUUCAGAGACUGAACGCUAAGUCAAUCCACAAUCAAUUGAGAAAGCAACUCACAAUUUCGCUCCGCAUCAGUACCUUGUUGACUCAUGCUGCCCUGUAUUUUCUUUACUUCUGGUCGUCCCCAAACGUCGACCUAACGCUAUGUCAGGGUCACAACGGGCCGGCCUCAUGAGAUUAACUUUUUUAUAGAAUAUUGCUAAGUGUCCUUCCAACCAUCGACUUAUCCGGUCCCGCACGGAUGCUUCUAGCAAUUUCUCGCGUCUAUUGAAGCCUACCUUAUAUAGGCUAAUUCCAUUCGAUCUACUGCUGUCAGGUUUCAUCUCGUUGCAAUGUCAUCCGUCCCUGUCACUCUGGAAGAGGUAAAAAAAGCAGUCACUAGUAUGGGAGCUUACAAGGCGCCGGGCCCCGACGGCUUCCAGCCGGUAUUUUAUCAACAUUGCUUGGACACAAUCAUCGGAUCUGAUUUAAUACGAAUGGUCCAGCUAGCUUUCGAGACGGCCACAUUAGAAAACCAGAUCAAUGCUACCCACCUAGUGCUCAUUCCGAAAACCCAAGCUCCGCAAUCGCUCAACCAAUACCGCCCCAUCCGCCUAUGUAACGUCGCGUAGAAAAUUAUAACAAAGGUGAUAACGAACCGUCUAAGAAAGAUCAUGCCCAAACUGAUUUCACCUGCUCAAAGCGCCUUCGUCCCCGGCAGGCUUAUAUCAGAUAAGAUUUUCAUUACCCACGAGGUGCUUUCCCAUUUACGACGGUCGAAGGCAAAGAAGGGUUGUAUGUGUAUCAAGUUGGACAUCGAAAAGGCAUACGACAGUCUGAAUUUGGACUUCCUUGAGACUAUACUAUAUAAAAAGGGAUUUUAUUCCCAUUGGAUUCGUCUGGUAAUGACAUGUGUACGGACCCCAACCUUCUCAGUACUAGUUAACGGAACUCAGACUGAUUCAUUCAAACCUACACGAGGCUUACGUCAGGGGGACCCUCUCCCCCCGUACCUCUUCAUCCUGUGCGCGGAAACACUGUCAGCGGCUAUCCACAAGGCAACCGAACUAGAUCUAGCUGACCCCAUCAGAGUGUCCAGAUCGGGCCCACCACUAUCACAUUUAGUGUUUUCCGACAAGACCAUAAUUUUCAUACGCGCAAACCAGAAGUCUUGCCGGACAAUCAAGCAAAUACUGGACCUGGACCACAUGGAAUCGGGCCAGAAGGUCAAUCUUUCCAAAUCUGUUGCCAAUUUAUCCACAGGAGUCCCAAACAGGAAGAAGGAAGUCUUAAAAAAACUGCUAGGUAUCACAAAGACAUCGCCAAUGCAGUCCUACUUGGGCAUUUCCCCUCUGACGCGUAGGCCAUCGCGUAACGAAUUUAAGGCAACUGUAAGCAGAGUAGAAAAUCGCCUUCAAGGUUGGAAAGCUCAACUGUUAACUUUUGCUGGUCGCCUUACGCUCAUAAAAUAAGUCACGGCUGGCAUAUCCAACCACAGAAUGAGCUCUUUCAAGAUACCAUUAUCAACAGUUGACCACCUGGAGUCUUUACAAAGAGACUUUCUGUGGUCAAAUGGGAACAAAGGAAAAAUCUAUGCGGUAAACUGGCAAACGGUAUGUCAGCCUUUGGACGAAGGAGGUCUAGGCAUUCGGUCUCUUUACUUAACUUAACAAACCAAGCAUUCCAGGCUAAGCUCCUCUGGUGCCUCCUCCCGUGUACGGACUCACUUUGAUGUGACGUCAUGCGAGCCAAAUCUUUCCCCCACGGCAACCCUCUAGAUGCGGGCAUUCCAUCCAAUAAUUCCUCAUACGCAUGGAGAUCAAUUGGGGACGACUUUCGUCGGGAAGGACGGUCUGUCCCAGAACCAAUAAGAGCAGAAGGCAAAGUAGUGUCAAUUCCACCGGACAAGGAAUAUUGAAGAGUAAAAGAAUAAUGAGCUCUUUCAUCCGCUAAGGCAUCAUAAGAAAGAUAGGCAGAAAGAUAUGCUGAAAGAGGCCGCCCUGAAGCUGGUGAAAAUUGGGCCGUAGAUCAUGACCAUAGCUUUCCUCGCAGCACCGAACUCUAAGCGAGUGGUUCUUCACGAAGAAUUGUUGGCAUGCCUCCAGCGGGACUAUAGGACAGCAAAAGUCGAAGCUUAUGAAUGAGGUUCGACUUUCCACACCAAAAGUCUCUUCCUAUCUUGUCCCAAGGCAGAUCCAAAGCCAGUGGCUUACCUAAGAGCAUGACCGCUAAGCAUUGCUGCUUUCUAUUCUCGCGCGGAUCUUGAAUCUAAAACACUCUUCAAUACUGUUUGGAAAGUCGUCUUGUAUUGAUCUUCUUUUUUCCUGGACAGACUAAAGGUAGAAUGGGCCUCUGUGCUUACUGCUCCUGCCGGGCUUGGUACUGUUGACGAGUCUGGACUUGCCCCUGUUGCUGAACCGGAAGAAGCUUUCUUCUAUAGCUUGACUUCGCUUGUCACAUUUCUCGUUUUGUUCCAGUCCCCCACUAGGAAAAAAUUCUAUUUAAGUGACGGCGGGAUGUAAGGCUCUGGUUCAGUACAUAGACUACUCUUAAAAAAAUGUAUUGAGCCAGGGUGUCAUCAUUCUUUGAAAGAGUAAUCUCCUUCCUUUCCUUCUCUGACCGAUCAAGAUAGCUUGUAAUUCAUUGAUCUGAGGGACGAGAUAUAGUAUCUAACUCAAAACAACUCUGAGAUUUCGUAUAAUUGUGAUGUUCCUACAAACGUGCGGCCUUCCUUUGAGACUGACUCCAUCUUCCCACCACGCUGUAGCAGGGCGAAAUCUCUGAUAGGUGCUGGUUCUCUUCCUCCCAAUUCGAGGAUCGCCGUGAAGCUCCGUUUUUAAAGCGUAGAACAAGCCUUUCUUUCUGAUCCCAAGUACCCGGCCCCAAGGGGUCGGAAGGCCCCAUUUCCCUACCAAGAUCUGGCCAUAUAAUGAAAGUUUUCACGCUCUUCCGAAAAGAGGAGAUUUUGGUCUUGACUUCAUACCCACCAAACGGAGUUUUUUAGUAUACUAAGGAUGACCCAUAUCGAGAAAGGGCCCGUGCUGGUACCGUACCAUUGAAGAGUGAAAUCCCGCCCCUGAUCAUGCCUCGAAGAAGGCAAUUCACGAGGAAAGGUCCCACUCAGACAUUCAGACACACACAAACACAAAGAUGACAACCGGGGCACGUUGCUAAGGAUAGGCUCCUGCUUUGACUAUAGAAUAGAUGAGCGUAGUACAACGCUCUGUGAUGUGGCUCUGCUUCCGAGGGUUAGGUCAAGGGUCGGUCGAGAACAGCUACCUUCCCGAUAGGUCGAUCCAGACUUUGAAAAGUAGCAUAGAAUAUUGCUUCGACUGCUUCGAUAUCAGAAAAAAUCAGACUCAGAGUUGGGACCUUCUGACUCUUUCCUCUGCAAGGACAGUACGAGUCUGCCGGUUCCACUUUCCUUUUUGUGGUAGUCGACGGGAAAUGGGCGCCUUGCUCCACAUUUUGUAUAAGGCUUCCGUGGCGACGUUUGGAGCAGUGAUAUCUGAGCCGGAAUUCCUUUGGAAUGAGCCACGUCAUAUGACCCUUUCUAUACGGCACUUCAUUUCUUCUAGCCGGCGGGGCGGAGGUGGGAUUUCCGGCAUGGCAGCAGCUGUGGGCCCUCACAGAUGCGCAGGCUGGUAGAUGCGCCCGGCGCGAGUCACGUCAUUGAUCGAUCGGCUGCAGCAUGGCUCUGCUGCUUCAUCGACGACUGGAUCGAGAUCGGGAUCGACAGCACAGCAGCUGCUGCAUUAAGGUCUAAGAUGGCUUUUGAGAACGAGAAGCUGCUCGGCACCUCAUUGCUGGAUGUCCGGGCUGGCUUUGCCAGCUGUGGUAGUGGUAGUAUAGUAGCCCUCGAGAAGGCGUGCGCGGACCUGGUCCUUCCUCUCUUUGUGGGGUAAUGGGCCUAAUAAGAGCUUUAGCGCCCCCCUGCGCGUGUGUUCCGUUCCUCCCCCCAUAGAACUUUCUAUGGACGGGGCUGAAUUGCUUUCUGCACCUUAGCGCGCUGCUGCUUUGCUGCUGAAUGACGUCUGCAUGACUUCGCGCUAGUCUCAUUUCUCUUUGGGUAUCGACACCGGUGCGGGCAGGCGGAAGGCUUCCAACUUGGAUAUCAAUUGGCUUCUUCGCUCUGUAGGUGCGCUACGGUAGCUAAGAUAUACAGCGUCAUUCUGAUGGAGCGGGGAAUGCGUACUAUACUUUUUUUUACUACUACUUACUAAAUUUCUUCUCUCUUUUGUUGCUGGAAGCUUUUUCCCAGCCGCUCUAUUAGUUCCUCGUCGGAAGUUUUCUGAGUUCGUCCUUCCGAGUUAAUCUCGUUGCGCGUAGACUUUCAGUUUCAGUAUUUCAGUAGUAGUCAACUUUCGAUGAGAGGCAUUUUUUUAUUAUUGUAUUAAUGUUCGUAGGGGUCUAAUUGUAGUUAUUUGUUGAUGCCAUGCCCAGUCGCCGCAUGGGAUGGCUCGCUGCAUCCUUCAAUUCGCAAGAAUUGAAAGUGGCCUUCCGCUUAAAGAUGGAUUGGCGGGUUCCGAAGAAGACUGGCUUUCUAGGCUAAGGAAGGAACUUCCCGGCACGCGGGAGUACGUUGAAAUCCUCGCUAAGACAAUGGAGGGUGACGUAUGUACAGCUUACGAGAGUGAGGGGUAGAGCUACGGAAUUGCUUUCGAUGUCAAGAGUUCCUCUUCCAAUGCCUCUUUCAUCUUCCUCAAACGAGGAGAAGGAAGUAGAAUACUUAGAAUGCCAAUGCUUUUCACAGACGAAGAUGGACGAGAGAAGUUUUGUCACCAAAGACGAGACGAGCGGGAAAACCCUAACUUCUACUUCUAAUAGUUAGUAGGACAGCAAGGCUCGGAACGAGGAGCUUUCAGUCCAUGGUUCAAAAAAAUUCUUCUUUCCGGGCGGAAGGCAAUCAGUCGAAAGAACGAAAGUCAGAGAAAGUCGCAGGUUUAGAAGCAGAUUUCGAUUCUAUUCCUUUUUCUUCCUUUUCAGCCAGUCUUUCUUACCACCCUUCGUCUUCGUCUAUGGAUAUUGAGGAGCUUUUACCCGAAUGGACCACCCCUUUCUCCUAAAGACGUGUAUACCCCAUUUAGAGGUUUUCGGCCUCAAGGGCGUGCCCAAUGUUGAGAUAGAGGAGAGUUUGACCCAGAAAAAGCGUGGACUUCAUUAUUAAAAAAAAUUAAUGAAUGGAUUGAUAUACACAAGUUACGAGCAGGACUCGAACCUGCAUUUUGGAAUAAACCCAAAACUUCCUUCUUUUUUUAUUUAUCGUCACUUUGGUCACUCGGUUCAGCACCCAAGCGGGUACCUACAUCCGGGGGCACAGAUAGGCCUAGACUAAAGAAACAUAGAUUCCCAACCGUAAAUUUAUAUAUAUAUUAAUAUAAAAAAUGAUUUCAGAAUGGAAAAUACGUUAUAAAAAGUGGAUAUUGCCCUCUUCAUCGAGGGAUAGUUUCCCACCGCAGCAAGGAAUUGGCAAUCCACCUUUCACAACACGGGUGACAUUUGCCUUUAAAGUGAGUUCCUUGAGCAGCCAUUCGAGCUUAUCCAAUGAAAAGGAAGAGACUUCCUCGGGACAUUUAAGUGCUAAUAUUGCCGUUUCCCUAUAUCGUGUGUAGGGAAAAGGAAAAACUUCGAACAUGGCUAAAUCAAAUUCAUCUAGAUCAAAAUAUAAGAGAAAACACGUAAUUAAGUUGGCGGGGGGAAUCCCACGAGACAAUGACAUAUCCUUUCCCUUAUCCGUCAGGAUACUGAUAUUCAAAAAGCUUUUCACCAAAGUCAAAAUGACACGAUCACUAACAAACGUCUCUCAUUUUUCAAGCAACCGAUCUCGACUUAUGGAAUUUAAAAACGGAGUCAGAUUAAUAUGCAUUAGCAUUUCUACCUUACCCCAGCUUCGCACCUCCUUAAACAUUUCAAAGCCAUUCGACGAAAAAAAUGAAUGAUUAUGUUCCAUAAAAAAGGGAUAAUCCAUAACGUGACGAGUUAGAACUCGAAAUAAGGCGUUCAACACCAAAUCGUCACGCGCUCCAGGAAGACAGGCGUAACCCAAGUCGGAAGUACCUGGAAAAACGAAUCGAUAUAUAUAAAUUGAAUCGAGCUCCUCCUUUGGAAGAACUACCAACUUCAACGCAGAAAAUUUAUAACAACCGGUUAGUUUUUAGGCUUUUUUUUUAUUCGGGAAAGCUCUGCUGAAGAAAACUCUAACUUAUUAGCGAAAGCUUUAGAUAAAAACUCGAUUUCCUUCACCAACAAAUAUAACAAUGAUUUAGCCAUAGCUGUCUCGACACAAUCAAACUGAACUCCACAUCACGUAGCCACUAGCGAAAAAUGAAAAUUCGAGUUUCCAUUUCCACCAGCGUCUACUAUGUGGGUUCACCUCUAAAGAUCUUCAAAUGCGGGCUCAAGAGAGAGCAAAGCGAAAGCGGGGAUUUCACUGACUUGACUGAUUGAGGUCCCCUUCGCUUUCCACAAAAUCGGCCUUGGAAUGGUUGAGACAUUGAUCGGCUGACCCCUUUCCUUUCUUUCCUGCUCGAGUAGGAAGGCUUUCCCCUUCGAUCACGAGAGAUUUUGAUUGUGUGUGAUGUGGAUGACCGAUAAGGAUCAACACUUUGCUUUGAGAGGCCGUGAUCUUCCCUUCCGGAUGUCCCUGACCUAUCCACGUGGUUAGCUGGCUUUGGUCAACGUCACUGGGGAGUCUGAAACUUCUUGUUCAAAAGGGAAUGUCAGAUCCAAUUUCACAGCCAAAAAAAGGGGGGGCCUGAACUCCUCUCUUGUUCGAUUGUUGCACUCACCGAGGAAGCCAAGAGGAUCACUGAGAAGGGGAGCGAGGGCUGGAUCUACUGGGAAAGAGAGGGCAGUCCUCGACACUUCGUCUUGACCACACAUCGUGAACCGCUUCCACGUCACCUUUCGCUAUCAAUCAAUGCUUUCAUCUUCUUCUAUUGGACUCCCCGAAAAAAGAGGAGACCGAAAGCUCGGUUCGAACACACUUGAUCUUGAUCCUCAUCCUCGGAGACAAAGAAGAAAGCAUAGGUCUCGUUCGGCUAGUUCAAGAGCAUCAAGCCAAAGAGCGUGUUCCAGGUGGUUUUCUCAACAGGUAUUUUCGCGGAGUUCAAGAAAAGGACUUUCAGGGUCACCUACUGAUUGAUUUCGGGCUGAUCCGGGGGCUAGCUCGGCUACUGAUAGAGGAAAAAGCGGGAAGGGUUUCCAGGUGGAGCCAAUCAUCACAAAGAUUUGGGAGUUGGUCUUGAUGCUGAGUUGCAUGUUCAAGAAAAGGGAGUCUUUGGCUAGAGGGAAACGAAACCUUGCACCUGGAGUGACACAUUCACAGACCAAGAUGAUGAGCUCACUAGACUUGGUUGACAACUAGGACUGCUGCUUGCGACUCUCUCUGCUCGAAUGAGAUCUCCUCUUUCGGGAGUUCAGUCUCACUACUGCAAGGUCUUCGGACAUACUAAGCAUACUUGCCCUCAGCGCCUUACAGGAUACUCGCCGGAUGGAACCUGAUGAGCUCCUCUACAGCGCGGAUCUGGGGCUCGAUCUAUGCUGCUUGCUAAGGUGCUGACUCACUCCCUGCAUCUCAAAGGGCUCCCAGGGUCAAAGGGAAAACGAAGGGCUCCAACCUAGUGGGACAGAAGGGCUCCUCCAAAACAAAAAAGAAGGAAAGACUGUCAUUCUAUUCUCAGUCCCUCUAUCAGCCCUUAUUGCCAUUGACCAACCUCUUGGAAGCUUUGCCAUGAAGCCAGCCCUUGCCCCCCUUCUACUGACACUGAGCAAACUGCACCGACUGGAGUAACAGGCUCAUACGACUGGGAAUAAGUUGUGAACUACCUAUGCUGAUAGAACCGACCCGCUACCCGAGGUUGCCCUAACAGAACUAGCUGACCCAGCGAGCUACAAAGGAAAGGGAGAUUGAUCACUGCUUUUAGCCUACUAAUAUAAAGGUAGGCAAGAAAGCCAGUCCAUGUUGCCGCUUCCAUUUCUCAAUCUCAUUCAAUCAACUUCUGAUUCCAUCUUGUCUGUCUGGCCCGGUGUACCUACUAGAGGUAUUCAAUACCCUACUCCUACUAAAGGAAAAGUUCGGAAUCAAGAGAAUGAUGGAUCCCAGCUGCCUUAACUGCAGGAAUCCCAACAGCAGGAAUAAGAGCUACACGCCGAGCUGACAGAGCGAGACCGGCUGCAAAAGGGAGAUUUGGACAACCCGUAGAGUGAAGUCUUCAAGCCCAAGGCGAAAGGCGAAUGCCGAAGGCGAUUGAGGAUCAAAUCAAGCAUUAAAGACAUACCCGAACCGAGCUGCAAGCACAAAAGCCGUUACACUCGAACCAAGCGUUCUUUAUGUUCGGCAACAUGGAGAAUCGGAAUAUUGCGACCUCUCUCCACUCCCUAACGCACCAGGCCAUACAGAGCCUAUAAGAAGAGAAGAGGCCUAUAAAUUGACGUUUAUCGUGUCUUGAGGUAAAGAAGAGGCCUUCGGUCAAUGUUGCCGGAAGUGAAGGCCGUCGAAUAGGAUCCCUUUCGAAAGACAGAACUAUUAAGUACGCCAACGCUAGUCAGAAACGAAGGCAAGGGCUAUCCGACUUAACAACGAGCCCCUCCCCAACUGCAAGACCAGAGGCUACUGCCUUACAUGAACUAGUUGCGAAAGCAGCGAGCGCAGUAAACAGAGCGAGCCAGAUAGAGAAGGGUGCGCGUCAACAUGGAAAAUCUGUCCGGCUUUCAAGCAAGCCUUCGUUUCUUGCUUCCGAUGCAUCAGGAAUCCCAGCUGAUAGAGAUGCGUCAGAUGAGAGAGAUGCCACAGCUGAAACGAGCUCUUAUCUAUGCCUACUUCUCCGCUUGGCACCUGAACUUGCACCGUAGGUAGUUUGCAGCCCGCCCAGCCUGAUAGACAUGCCGAAAAUUGCCCAACGGCGAGUAGAACUUUAGCCGCCAACGGCGAGCAGCGGCGGAAAAAGAAGGGAAGGAAGAGGAAAUAGGAACAGAGCAAGAGAUUGCGCGAAAGAAGGGAUCUCCCUCUAUAGGUUGUCGUACAAUAAAAGGAAUAGGGGGAGAUAGAAAAAGCAG
rnacentral:lncRNA from 1 species